rnacentral:rRNA from 1 species
AUUGAACGCUGGCGGCAGGCCUAACACAUGCAAGUCGAACGAGUGGCGGACGGGUGAGUAACAUCUGGGAACGUGCCUCACAGUGGGGGAUAACUACUCGAAACGGUAGCUAAUACCGCAUACCAUUAGAUCGGCCCAUAUUGGAUUAGCUGGUGGGUGGGGUAACGGCGCACCAAGGCGACGAUCCCUAGCUGGUCUGAGAGGAUGACGAGCCACACUGGAACUGAGACACGGUCCAGACUACUACGGGAGGCAGCAGUGGGGAAGAUUGGACAAUGGGGGCAAGCCUGAUGCAGCAAUGCCGCGUGUAUGAAGAAGGCCUUCGGGUUGUAAAGAACUUUUAUCGGGGAGGCGUUACCCGCAGAAGAAGCACCGGCUAACUACGUGCCAGCAGCCGCGGUAAUAC